AUACGGAGGGUGCAAACGUUGUUCGGAAUUACUGGGCGUAAAGCGCGCGUAGGCGGUUUGUUAAGUCAGAUGUGAUAGUCCACAGCUCAACUGUGGAAGUGCAUUUGAAACUGGCAGACUUGAGUACUGGAGGGGGUGAUGGAAUUCCCGGUGUAGAGGUGAAAUUCGUAGAUAUCGGGAGGAAUACCGGUGGCGAAGGCGAUCACCUGGCCAGAUACUGACGCUGAGGUGCGAAAGCGUGGGGAACAAACAGGAUUAGAAACCCCAGUAGUCC
rnacentral:rRNA from 1 species